rnacentral:rRNA from 1 species
CAUUGCACACACACACAAGAGUGGCAAA